GCGCACAGAUAGUUGAAAAGAAAAUGUGCAGUUUGUCAAGACUAUAUGAAAUAGAACACCAAAGACACAGAGUAAAGGCACGAGCAUGCCAUGGUAACAGCAUUAUCUGGCAAGGAAAAUAACAAUAUAAGAAGUCAAUAAAUGAUACAAGACAUGAAAUGUGACAGACAGAGUGGGUGGCAGAUCAAGGCAACAGAAAAAACACGUAGAGGGACUUCUAACAUAAUAUUAUCUCUUCUCUUGUCUUUGAGGUGUGUUCUGUAUUUAACAAAUAACAUAUCAGUCGAGUCAUCUUCUAAUGUGAUUGUAACAAAAUACAGUAUAAAGUGCCAUGAAAAAGUAUUUGCCCCCUUCUCUAAUUGUCUUUUUUUUUGCACAGUUUCCCAACUUGAAAGUUUAAGAUCAACAAACACAUGUACAUGCCAGACAAAGAUAACCCAAGUUAAAAUAAAACACAUAUUCAUUAAGGGGAAAAAAACGUAUUCAAAGCUACCGGGCCCGGUGUGAAAAAGUAAUUGCCCCGAAACCUAAUAACUGGUUGGGCCACCCUCAGCAGCAACAACUGAAAUCAAGCGUUUUCUAUAGCUGGCAAUGGGUCUUUCACAUCGGGAGAUAUCUUGGCUCACUCUUCCUUGCAAUUUUUUUAAAUUCAGCAAUAAUGGAGGAUUUUCAAGCAUGAAUGGCCUUUUUAAUCAGAUUCAAGUCUGGACCUUUACCAGGUCACUCCCAAACCUUUUUUUCUUAAGCUAUCGGAUCGUUGUUCUGCUGCAAAACCCAAGUGUGUUGCUGUUUGAGGUCACGAACUGAUGGCCGACAUACACCUUCAGGAUUCUCUGGUAAAAAGGAGGAUUCUUGGUUCCAUCAAUCACAAGUUGUCUGUGUCCUUAAGUAGGUAAGCAGCCCCAGACCAUCACACGACCACCACCAUGUUUGACUGUUGGUUAGGGAUGUCCCUAUCCAGUCAAAUGAUCAGCAAUCAGGACCAGGGUGGGUGGGAGUACACGCAUAGGCUACAUGGACAAACUGUACAAAGUGAUGAGAGGUGUUUUCAUUCUUAUUUAGGACUGUUAAAAUCAGGUAGCUGCUCCUGCUAGUACUACUGUUGGUAGUCUAUGUAAGUAUUUAGCUAAUAUUACCAGUAACAGUCCCAUCUAAUAUGUGCCAAAUAGUCAUUAAAAUAAAUAAGGUAAUAAAUAUUCUUAAUUCAAUCUCCUCAAUUUGCCAUGUCAACUAGGUAAUGAAAAAUGUGGGCUCUUCAAAAUUGAAAUUUCAGAAGCAUGAUAAUGCUUUUCCAAAAUACAAUCUUAUCAAAAAAGUAAUGGCAAGGCACAAAUUUUGAUUCCAUUUACAUUUUAUGUGUCAAUUUCUAAAUUAUUCAUCUGCUGAUUUUCUCACUUUGUCUCUCCGACUCUCUUCCUCAUUUUCUGUCUACUGAGCUCUCCUCCUUCUGUGGUGUCACUGUCCUUAUGGUGCUGCAACACUGUUGGUCUCCUGUGGCCACACUUCCCACGAUGAAUCUGUGGGUCUGGGCUUUUGAAAAAGCUGAUAGGCUGAGAGGACUUCGGUAUUGACCAGCAAUCGCCUGGUGCGAUGUCAGCUCGGUGCCGCAGUGAACAGAGGAUGUAUAAUCCCCAGAAUGCUUUGGCCCAAAGACCCACCUUGUCUUGGGUACUCAUCAGCCUCGUGGUGAACAAGCCUGGGUAGCGCUUUGCGCCCUCUCGCUCUCCCCCCCCCCCCUCUCGCUUUCCAGCACCUUCCUCGGCCACGCACCUGUCACCAAUUGGCCCUCAUUACCACCUGCAUUAAAGCCUGUCUGAUUCCGGAAAACCUUGCCAGAGUAUUACAGCUUCUCCAGCGUGUUCCCUCCGUGUUCGUUAUCAAUUGAAUUCCUACCGCCAAGCCAGCCGCCUGCCCUCGUCACCACCUGCCACUCAUUCCCAGCCAUUUUCAAUAAACCUCUCAGCCUCCGCUCAUACCACCCACCCAGAAAGAACUCCGUUUCCUCGGAUUCGCCAGCUUCUACCGCCGCUUCAUCCGCAAGUACAGCAAGGUCGCACAUCCCCUAACCAGUCUCACAUCCACCAGUUCCCCCUUUCAGUGAACCCCUGCAACAUCCCAAGCUUUCAGCCAACUCAAAACCCUGUUUACCUUAAGUCACCCCGACCCCUCCCUCCAAUUCAUGGUGGAACCUGACGCCCUCUCCUGCAUAUAAUCAUCCCCCUCCAGCCCUGCAGAACCCGACACUAUCCGCCCUUCCUCCUGCUUUGUCGGUGCUGUAUCUUGGAAAAUUUAACAAAUAGUCAAACGCGCUCAAAGGACUCACCCUGACCCCAAGACCGGACCUCCGAACCGUCUAUUUGUACCCGAUUCCGCACGCUCUGAAAUCCUUCGGUGGGCUCAUAACUCAUCCCAGCAUCACCCACACUAUUCAAUUGGUUCAGCAACAUUUCUGGUUGCCCAGCCUGGUCAAAGACACCUGGGAAUUGGUCCAAGCCUGCUCCGUCUGUGCCCGAGGGAAGGCUUCACAUCUGCCUCCAGCUGGUCUGCUGCGCCCCUUACCCAUCCCGAGCCGCCCAUGGUCCCACAUCGCUUUACAUUUCAUCACCGGCCUGCCUCCUUCUGAAGGUAACACUAUCAUUCUUACUGUUGUCAAUCGAUUUUCUAAAUAUGUCCAUUACAUACCCCUUUCCAAACUAUCCUCUGCUUUUGAAACUGCUAACCUCCUUGUUCAUCAUGUCUUCAAACUCCACGGUAUACCCAUCGACAUCGUCUCGGACCAAGGUCCCCAGUUCUCCUCCCUGGUUUGGAAAGAAUUCUGCAAAGCGCACCUUCCUCGGCCGCACACCUGUCACCAAACAGCCCUCGUUACCUCCUGAAUUUUAGCCUACCUGAUCCCGGAAAACCUUGCCAGAGUAUUACAGCUUCUCCAGCGUGUUCCCUCCGUGUUCGUCACCAAGUGAAUUCCUACCGCCACGCCACCAAGCCAGCCGCCUGCCCUCAUCACCGCCUGCCACGUAUUCCCUGUCUCCACAACCCACCAGCGCACCUCAAGGACCAUCUACAAUCCCCUUUUUCAAUAAACUGUUCAUCACAACAUCUCAGCCUCCGCCUGCUCUUCGGGCCAGUCUGCAUCCAUUCAUGACAAAUGAGUUAUAUAUAUAACUACAUAUAGGUCCUGCUGGACAUUAUGCCAGCUUUACUUUUGUCAUAUGUUUGUGAGCUUAAUGCAUAGGACCAUUAAACAAAUAACAAUUAGUAUUUACUUCAUGGAGAAUGUAUAAAAUUAAAA